rnacentral:rRNA from 1 species
GGUUCAUUCAAAUUUCUUCCCUAUCAACUUUCGAUGUUUGGGUAUUGGCCAAACAUGGUUGCGACGGGUAACGGAGGGUUAGGGCUCGACCCCGGAGAAGGAGCCUGAGAAACGGCUACUACAUCCAAGGAAGGCAGCAGGCGCGCAAAUUACCCAAUCCCGACCGGGGGAGGUAGUGACAAUAAAUACUGAUACAGGGCUCUUUUGGGUCUUGUAAUUGGAAUGAGUACAAUUUAAAUCCCUUAACGAGGAACAAUUGGAGGGCAAGUCUGGUGCCAGCAGCCGCGGUAAUUCCAGCUCCAAUAGCGUAUAUUAAAGUUGUGUGGUUAAAAAGCUCGUAGUUG